ensembl:snRNA U5 U5 spliceosomal RNA
AUACUCUGGUUUCUCUUCAGAUCGUAUAAAUCUUUCGCCUUUUACUAAAGAUUUCCGUGGAGAGGAACAACUCUGAGUCUUAAGCCAAUUUUUUGAGGCCUUGUUCCGGCAAGGCU